GACGAACGCUGGCGGCGUGCCUAAUACAUGCAAGUUGAGCGCUGAAGGUUGGUACUUGUACCGACUGGAUGAGCAGCGAACGGGUGAGUAACGCGUGGGGAAUCUGCCUUUGAGCGGGGGACAACAUUUGGAAACGAAUGCUAAUACCGCAUAAAAACUUUAAAAACAAGUUUUAAGUUUGAAAGAUGCAAUUGCAUCACUCAAAGAUGAUCCCGCGUUGUAUUAGCUAGUUGGUGGGGUAAAGGCUCACCAAGGCGAUGACACAUAGCCGACCUGAGAGGGUGAUCGGCCACAUUUGGACUGAGACACGGCCCAAACUCCUACGGGCGGCAGCAGUAGGGUAUCUUCGGCAAUGGACGAAAGUCUGACCGAGCAACGCCGCGUGAGUGAAGAAGGUGUUCGGAUCGUAAAACUCUGUUGGUAGAGAAGAACGUUGGUGAGAGUGGAAAGCUCAUCAAGUGACGGUAACUACCCAGAAAGGGACGGCUAACUACGUG
rnacentral:rRNA from 1 species